CCUACGGGAGGCAGCAGUGGGGAAUAUUGGGCAAUGGAGGCAACUCUGACCCAGCAACGCCGCGUGAAUGAUGAAGGCCUUCGGAUUGUAAAGUUCUGUGAUGGGGGAUGAACACAAUGACGGUACCCCAAUAGCAAGCCACGGCUAACUACGUGCCAGCAGCCGCGGUAAUACGGAGGUGGCAAGCGUUAUCCGGAAUGACUGGGCGUAAAGGGUGCGUAGGUGGUUUAGUAAGUUGGCGGUGUAAUUCCGGGGCUCAACCUCGGCGCUACCGCCAAAACUAUUAGACUAGAGUGCAGGAGGGGUAAGUGGAAUUCCUAGUGUAGCGGUGGAAUGCGUAGAUAUUAGGAGGAACAUCAGGUGCGAAGGCGACUUACUGGACUGUAACUGACACUGAGGCACGAAAGCGUGGGGAGCAAACAGGAUUAGAUACCCGUGUAGUC
rnacentral:rRNA from 1 species